rnacentral:rRNA from 1 species
GAUGAACGCUGGCGGCGUGCUUAACACAUGCAAGUCGAACGGAAAGGCUCCUGCUUGCAGGGGUACUCGAGUGGCGAACGGGUGAGUAACACGUGGGUGAUCUGCCCUGCACUUCGGGAUAAGCCUGGGAAACUGGGUCUAAUACCGGAUAGGACGAUGGUUUGGAUGCCAUUGUGGAAAGUUUUUCGGUGUGGGAUGAGCUCGCGGCCUAUCAGCUUGUUGGUGGGGUAAUGGCCUACCAAGGCGUCGACGGGUAGCCGGCCUGAGAGGGUGUACGGCCACAGUGGGACUGAGAUACGGCCCAGACUCCUACGGGAGGCAGCAGUGGGGAAUAUUGCACAAUGGGCGCAAGCCUGAUGCAGCGACGCCGCGUGGGGGAUGACGGCCUUCGGGUUGGAAACUCCUUUCGCUAGGGACGAAGCGUUUUGUGACGGUACCUGGAGAAGAAGCACCGGCUAACUACGUG